rnacentral:rRNA from 1 species
UUGCCGGGUAGCUAUGUACGGAAGAGAUAACCGCUGAAGGCAUCUAAGCGGGAAACUCGUCUAAAGAUAAGAUUUCCCGGGGGCUUGACCCCCCUAAAGGGCCGUUCGAGACCAGGACGUUGAUAGGUCAGGUGUGGAAGCGCAGUAAUGCGUUAAGCUAACUGAUACUAAUUGCCCGUGCGGCUUGAUCCU